AUGUCUUCUAAGGUUUCCACUAUGUCUGAAGCUCUUUCCACAUUCAAUGCAUUGAAAUGGUUUCUCCCCCAUGUGAGUUCGUUGAUGGAUUCUAAGGGCUCCAUUUUGACUGAAGCCCUUUCCACAUUCAAUGCAUUUAAAUGGUUUCUCUGCCGUAUGAGUUCGUUGAUGUCUUCUAAGGUUUCCAGUACAACUGAAGCUCUUUCCACAUUCAAUACAUUUACAUGGUUUCUCCGCUGUGUGAGUUCGUUGAUGCAUUCGAAGGUCGUCACUACGAAUGAAGCUAUUUCCACAUUCAAUGCAUUUAAAUGGUUUCUCCCCCGUAUGAGUUCGUUGAUGUCUCCUAAGGUUUCCACUUUGACUGAAGCUAUUACCACAUUCAAUGCAUUUAAAUUGUUUCUCUACCGUAUGAGUUCGUUGAUGUAUUCUAAGGACUCCACUACGACUGAAGCUCUUUCCACAUUCAAUGCAUUUAAAUGGUUUCUCUCUUGUGUGAGUUCGUUGGUGUAUUCUAAGGUUUCUACUGUCACUGAAGCUCUUUCCACAUUCCAUACAUUCAAACGGUUUCUCCCCUGUGUGAGUUCGUUGAUGGAUUCUAAGGGCUCCAUUUUGACUGAAGACCUUUCCACAUUCAAUGCAUUUAAAUGGUUUCUCCCCAGUGUGUGUUUGUUGAUGUAUUCUAAGGUUUCCAGUACAACUGAAGCUCUUUCCACAUUCAAUACAUUUAAAUGGUUUCUCCCCUGUGUGAGUUCGUUGAUGGAUUCUAAGAUUUCUACUUUCACUGAAGUUCUUUCCACAUUCAAUACAUUUAAAUGGUUUCUCCCCUGUGUGAAUUCGUUGAUGUAUUCUAAGGUUUCUACUUUCACUGAAACUACUUCCACAUUCAAUACAUUUAAAAGGUUUCUCCCCUGUGUGAGUUCGUUGAUGGAUUCUAAGGCUUCUACUUUCACUGAAGCUCUUUCCACAUUCCAUACAUUCAAACGGUUUCUCCCCUGUGUGAGUUCGUUGAUGGAUUCUAAGGCUUCUACUUUCACUGAAGCUCUUUCCACAUUCCAUACAUUCAAACGGUUUCUCCCCUGUGUGAGUUCGUUGAUGGAUUCUAAGGGCUCCAUUUUGACUGAAGCCCUUUCCACAUUCAAUGCAUUUAAAUGGUUUCUCCCCUGUAUGAGUUCGUUGAUGUAUUCUAAGGGCUCCACUUUGACUGAAGCUCUUUCCACAUUCAAUGCAUUUAAAUUGUUUCUCUUCUGUAUGAGUUUGUUGAUGUAUUCUAAGGACUCCACUAAGUCUGAAGCUCUUUCCACAUUCAAUGCAUUUAAAUGGUUUCUCUCCCAUGUGAGUUUGUUGAUGUCUUCUAAGGUUUCUACUUUCACUGAAGCGCUUUCCACAUUCCAUACAUUCAAACGGUUUCUCCCCUGUGUGAGUUUGUUGAUGUGUUCUAAGGGCUCCACUACGACUGAAGCUCUGUUCACAUUCAAUGCAUUUAAAUGGUUUCUCCCCCGUGUGAGUUCGUUGAUGUCUUCUAAGGUGACCACUUUCACUGAAGCUCCUUCCACAUUCAAUGCAUUUAAAUGGUUUCUCCCCCGUGUGAGUUCGUUGAUGUCUUCUAAGGCCUCCACUUGCACUGAAGCUCUUUCCACACUCCAUACAUUCAAACGGUAUUUCCCCCAUGUGAGUUCGUUGAUGUUUUCUAAGGUUUCCACUUUGACUGAAGCUCCUUCCACACUCCAUACAUUCAAAUGGUUUCUCUCCUGUGUGAGUUUGUUGGUGUAUCCUCAUUCUUCCACAGUGACUAAAGCACAUUCCACAUUCCCUGCAUUUAAACUGUUUCUUUGUUCUCCCUAA
rnacentral:lncRNA from 1 species